rnacentral:rRNA from 1 species
GACGAGCGGCGGACGGGUGAGUAAUGUCUGGGAAACUGCCUGAUGGAGGGGGAUAACUACUGGAAACGGUAGCUAAUACCGCAUAACGUCGCAAGACAAAGAGGGGGACCUUCGGGCCUCUUGCCAUCAGAUGUGCCCAGAUGGGAUUAGCUAGUAGUGGGGUAACGGCUCACCUAGGCGACGAUCCCUAGCUGGUCUGAGAGGAUGACCAGCCACACUGGGAACUGAGACACGGUCCAGACUCCUACGGGAGGCAGCAGUGGGGAAUAUUGCACAAUGGGCGCAAGCCUGAUGCAGCCAUGCCGCGUGUAUGGAGAAGGCCUUCGGGCUGUAAAGUACUUUCAGCGGGGAGGAAGGUGCUGUGGUUAAUAACCACAGCAAUUGACGUUACCCGCAGAAGAAGCACCGGCUAACUCCGUGCCAGCAGCCGCGGUAAUACGGAGGGUGCAAGCGUUAAUCGGAAUUACUGGGCGUAAAGCGCACGCAGGCGGUCUGUCAAGUCGGAUGUGAAAUCCCCGGGCUCAACCUGGGAACUGCAUUCGAAACUGGCAGGCUAAGUCUUGUAAGGGGGGUAGAAUUCCAGGUGUACGGUGAAAUGCG